GACGAACGCUGGCGGCGUGCUUAACACAUGCAAGUCGAACGAUGAAGCCCAGCUUGCUGGGUGGAUUAGUGGCGAACGGGUGAGUAACACGUGGGCAACCUGCCCCAAACUCUGGGAUAACUCCUCGAAAGAGGUGCUAAUACCGGAUACGAACUAGACAGACAUCUGUACUAGUUGGCAAGUUUUUCGGUUUGGGAUGGGCCCGCGGCCUAUCAGCUUGUUGGUGAGGUAACGGCUCGCCAAGGCUACGACGGGUAACCGGCCUGAGAGGGCGACCGGUCACACUGGGACUGAGACACGGCCCAGACUCCUACGGGAGGCAGCAGUGGGGAAUAUUGCGCAAUGGGCGAAAGCCUGACGCAGCGACGCCGCGUGAGGGAUGAAGGUCUUCGGAUCGUAAACCUCUUUCAGUAGGGACGAAGCGAAAGUGACGGUACCUAAAGAAGAAGCACCGGCUAACUACGUGCCAGCCGCCGCCGUAA
rnacentral:rRNA from 1 species